GAUGAAGAACGUAGCGAGAUGCGAUAAGUAAUGUGAAUUGCAGAAUUCAGUGAAUCAUCGAAUCUUUGAACGCACAUUGCGCCCCCCGGCAUUCCGGGGGGCAUGCCUGUUCGAGCGUCUCCAGGACGAAUCCUCGCGCGAGUGAACGCGCGGUCGUGGCGGAGGUGGCGUGCCCGAGCAGGGCGGCCACCGCACUGGAAUCCAUGGGCGGACGCCUGCCGCGUGGCCGAGCGUGAUAUGACGCAUUGGCGCUCGUGCGCGGCGAGGCUGCCAGCCCUGGCCCGUCUGUCGGGCGGGGUAGAUCACCACGUGGGAACUCCUCGAAUCAGGUAGGGAUACCCGCUGAACUUAAGCAUAUCAAUAAGCGGAGGA
rnacentral:misc_RNA from 1 species